rnacentral:rRNA from 1 species
AUUGAACGCUGGCGGCAGGCUUAACACAUGCAAGUCGAGCGAGCGGCGGAUGGGUGAGUAAUGUCUGGGAAACUGCCUGAUGGAGGGGGCUAACUACUGGAAUCGCUAGCUCCUCCCGCAUACCAUCAGAUGUGCCCAGAUGGGAUUAGCUAGUAGGUGGGGUAAUGGCUCACCUAGGCGACGAUCCCUAGCUGGUCUGAGAGGAUGACCAGCCACACUGGAACGGAGACACGGUCCAGACUCCUACGGGAGGCAGCAGUGGGGAAUAUUGCACAAUGGGCGCAAGCCUGAUACAGCCAUGCCGCGUGUGUGAAGAAGGCCUUCGGGUUGUAAAGCACUUUCAGCGAGGAGGCGUUACUCGCAGAAGAAGCACCGGCUAACUCCGUGCCAGCAGCCGCGGUAAUUC